GACGUAGGGGGCGAGCGUUGUCCGGAUUUACUGGGCGUAAAGCGUGCGCAGGCGGUUCGUUAAGUCAGCUGUGAAAGCCCCGGGCUCAACCUGGGAAUGGCGGUUGAAACUGGCGAACUUGAAUCUGGCAGAGGGGGUGGAAUUCCACGUGUAGCAGUGAAAUGCGUAGAGAUGUGGAGGAACACCGAUGGCGAAGGCAGCCCCCUGGGCUGAGAUUGACGCUCAGGCACGAAAGCGUGGGGAGCAAACAGG
rnacentral:rRNA from 1 species